GAAUCUCACAACAUAUGUUUGGAUAGCACUUCCCAGCCUACAACGCACUUUCUCAGGGAUUCUCAAACUUCCUCCCACCUCACAUCCUUUUAAGGCAAGUGAGUGUGGGAACUCUGGUUCAGGGAAGUUAAAUCACUUGCCUAAGGUCAUGCAGAUCAUUAAUGCCAUAGCCAAGACCUGAGCACGUUCUCCUAAAGCCAGGUCAGGCCUCUUGUCACAUACUCCAUUGACUCUAGUGCCUAACCCAUGCUCAUCACAGAGCUCACAUUGGAACCAUUGUUAAACAGACUCUAAUGGAAAUGACUUCGUUCAGCUGGUGAACAUUUUGGAAGAUUCCAGAAAAACAUGAACAAGUGUUUGAGUGCUCUUAAGGGGAUUGUCUAAUAUCUUGGCUCCUGACUCAUCCUUAGAAGUCUUCCAGCCACCUUGUACCCAUUUCAAGCCCAAGGGCUCUUUAACGUAAAUGAGUUACUGAGCAGGUUAAUGGGACCUGGACUGGAAAAGGAUUGUUUGUGUGGGAAUCAUUCAUGGCAAAGGCAGUGACACCUCCUUCAAAAACCUGUGUCUUUCUGGCAGAGUGUUGCUGGAGAUGGCCACUGGAGAGGCUGAGUCAAAUCAAUCUCCUCACCUGAGGACUUCCUAAGACCAGCGCACUGAAGGACCAGCAGCAACAACAACAAUAAUGCUAAUGCUCCCUUAUGGACAAGACUGCAAUUCUCUGCCUGCUGAAGCUCAGCUAUGACCACGUGACUUGCCUUGGCCAAUGAAAGAGGAAGAGUAUGUAACACUGCUGAAUGGAAGCAAGUGGCCCCUGCCCCUGCUGCAGAGAUUCUAGACAUGUGUGCCAUGCUGGAGCAAGGAGACAGGGAGUCCUGGAGAAAGGAGACAUGGAACAGAGCUCCCAGCCCAGUCAAUAUGUAACAUGAGUGAGAAAUAAAUAACACUUUGUUGCUAGAAGUUUUUUUUAAACUGAAGUAUAACUCAGCUUCCCCUGACCCAUGCAGAAAGUCAUCUAUCAAUGUUAAGUAUCACUAAAUUUAUUUUACAGAAGAAGAAUCUAAAGCUCAGAGUAGUGGUCUCAAUAUCACUCAGCAAUUAUGUGAUGGAAGCAUACUGAAGGCCCACGUUUUAAAGUGGACACCAAGGGGAAUAUAGCAUAAAUAGAAAUUUUCUAACUGCAGGGAAUUCUUGCUAUACAACUGCAAAGAAUAGGCCCCACUACUUCCUAGCUGUGCCUCAAUUUCCUGAUCAGUUAAAUGGGACUAAUAAAAGAGCAGCUAGUGGCUGGGUGCGGUGGCUCACGCCUGUAAUCCCAGCACUUUGGGAGGCCGAGGCGGGCAGAUCAAGAGGUCAGGAGAUCGAGACCACAGUGAAACCCCGUCUCUACUAAAAAUACAAAAAAUUAGCUGUGCGCAGUGGCGGGUGCCUGUAGUCCCAGCUACUCGGGAGGCUGAGGUAGGAGAAUGUCGUUAACUCGGAAGGCGGAGCUUGCAGUGAGCCGAGAUCGCGCCACUGCACUCCAGUCUGGGCGACAGAGGGAGACUCUGUCUCAAAAAAAACGACAACAACAAAAAAAAAAAAAAAAAAAAAAAAGAAAGAGUAGCUAGUGCAAGAGAUGGAGAAGGGAUUAAAUGAAAAUACAUGUAAAUUGCUCAUAAGAUUAUCUAGAAUAAACCGAACAUUCAAAAAUGUUAGUUACUAUUAUUAUUAACAAUUGCUAUUAUAAUCCUAAUAUCACCUGUUUCUCAUCAGUCGGUGGAUACAAGCAAUUACAUUUACAUAAAUAUGUAAAGCAAUAAAGCCAAACCAGAGACUCCUAA
rnacentral:lncRNA from 1 species